CGAAGCAAAGAAGGAGGAUUGCUGGGAAGACGAUGGAUGAUCCAGGUCUAGCCAUGUUUCAUUUAAAGGGGAGUAACAGAAAUACGGAACUAGAAACAGCUGCUUUCUUCCAUCAUCCAGGUCUAGCCAUGUUUCAUUUAAAGGGGAGUAACAGAAAUACGGAACUAGAAACAGCUGCUUUCUGUGGUUUUGCAAGGUCAAAGUUAUGCUGUGAUGAAAUGUUGGAGAUGACUGCAGGAAAUACAGAGGAAUCUACGAACGGAAGAUUCCAUAUGCUGUUGAUGUUUUCAGUUAACCGGGAGAUGUGUUCGAUUACCCGGAUAGUGUUCUGAUAUUGCCUAUACGUAGUUUGGAAGAAUGGGUACCAGAGAGUCAACUCGACUUCCAAUCUGCUAUUCAAAUCAAAUCUGAGAAAACGGACCGAGUCGAGCCAACACUUUCUCAUUCAAAUUCAAAUCGAAAAACUUAACGUAGGGUUUUUUCACAUUUUGUUUCCAACCUAAAGGGUAUUACAGAAAGGAGUAUGAUUCCAAACCAAUUCACAGUUCCAGCC
rnacentral:lncRNA from 1 species